rnacentral:rRNA from 1 species
GGUGAAAUCCUGGUAGCUUAACUGUGGGAAUUGCUGGAGAUACUAUUAGGACUUGAGACCGGGAGAGGUUAGAGGUACUCCCAGGGUAGAGGUGAAAUUCUGUAAUCCUGGGAGGACCGCCUGUUGCGAAGGCGUCUAACUGGAACGGUUCUGACGGUGAGGGACGAAAGUUAGGGGCGCGAACCGGAUUAGGAUACCCCGGGUAGUCCUAACUGUAAACGAUGCGGACUUGGUGUUGGGUGGCUUUGAGCUGCUCCAGUGCCGAAGGGAAGCUGUUAAGUCCGCCGCCUGGGAAGUACGGUCGCAAGACUGAAACUUAAGGAAUUGGCGGGGGAGCACCACAACGCGUGGAGCCUGCCGGUUUAAUUGGAUUCAACGCCGGACAUCUCACCAGAGGCGACAGCUGUAUGAUAGCCAGGUUGAUGACUUUGCUUGACCAGCUGAGUGGUGGUGCAUGG